GCUGGGUGUGGUGGCCCAUGCCUGUAAUCCUAGCACUUCGGGAGGCUGAGACAGGCAGAUCACUUGAGGUCAGGAAUUCGAGACUAGCCUGGCCAACAUGGUGAAACCUUGUCUCUACUAAAAAUACAAAAAAUUAGCUGGUAAUGUGGGUGCACACCUAUAGUCCCAGCUAUUCGGGAGGCGGAGGCAGGAGAAUCACUUGAACCCAGGAGGCAGAGGUUGCAGUGAGCUGAGAUCAUGCCACUGCACUUCAGCCUGGGCAACAGAGUGAGACUCUGUCUCC
rnacentral:sRNA from 1 species